UAGGGAAUCUUCCGCAAUGGGCGAAAGCCUGACGGAGCAACGCCGCGUGAGUGAUGAAGGUCUUCGGAUCGUAAAACUCUGUUAUUAGGGAAGAACAAAUGUGUAAGUAACUAUGCACGUCUUGACGGUACCUAAUCAGAAAGCCACGGCUAACUACGUGCCAGCAGCCGCGGUAAUACGUAGGUGGCAAGCGUUAUCCGGAAUUAUUGGGCGUAAAGCGCGCGUAGGCGGUUUUUUAAGUCUGAUGUGAAAGCCCACGGCUCAACCGUGGAGGGUCAUUGGAAACUGGAAAACUUGAGUGCAGAAGAGGAGAGUGGAAUUCCAUGUGUAGCGGUGAAAUGCGUAGAUAUAUGGAGGAACACCAGUGGCGAAGGCGACUCUCUGGUCUGUAACUGACGCUGAGGCUCGAAAGCGUGGGUAGCAAACAGG
rnacentral:rRNA from 1 species